GGAUAUAGCUCAGUGGCAUAAGCACCUACCUAGCAAGUACAAGGUCCUGAGUUCAAUUCUCAGUACCA
rnacentral:tRNA from 1 species